CAGCGGUCCAGAGAUGUCCAUGGGGGCAAAAGGUCACUAUCUCAUGCAAGUGAAAGCUCAAGAGCAGCAAAGGUUGCGAGAACUAUUGAUUCAAAAGUUGUCAUGACCCAAUUGAAGACCAAAAUGAAAGGAAGAAAAUUGCCUCCAAUUAUUUCGGGGUCUCCUAUGUUGAAUCUGAUUGCAAGAAAGAAAGCACAAACAUCCGGAAGGUCACCAAACCAGCUCGCAAGGUCUCCAAGGUCCACUGGGACUUUGAAAUCCCCGUCUUUGGAUGCUCUCUCGCCUGUUUCUGUACAUGCUACUCCAGCUUCUUUGCAUGCUCUUUCGCCUAUUCCUGGACAUGGUGCUCCAUCCACUAUGCGUGAUCGUCUUUUUCCUGCUCCUACCCACGGAUCCAAGCGCAGACCACGCAAGUUGACCUCUAUCAUUUGGAGGGAGGCUGAGCCAAUAUAUAUUGAUGGAUUUCUGAUGCAAGGCCAAUGCAACUAUUGCAACAAUAUAUUUCUAGCCUCUAAGGUCUCAGGUACUAGUCAACUUGCUAGACACCUCAAGGUAUGUGAGGUCAAAUGUUCAAUGGAUGGGUUGGUGAAACAAAUGAAAAAUUCUGAUGAAAUAGACCCUGAUUGGAAAUUUGAUCAAGAAAUCGCAAGGAGUGAGCUUGUCAAGUUAGUUGUCCUACAUGGUCUGCCUUUCUCAUUUGUCGAGUAUGUUGGCUUUAGGAAAUUUUGUGCAGUAGUAAAUCCCUGGUUUAAACCAAUCAGUAGAGUAACGCUACCUAGAAGAAGACUUUCAUCCCCGUACACCCGAUUUCGACAUUUUGAAAUGGUGGGCUGUGAACUCUCCAAGGUAUCCAGUACUUGGCAACAUUGCCCGUGAUGUACUGGUUGUACCAGCUUCGACCGUUGCCUCUGAGUCUGCGUUUAGCACGUGCGGAAGAGUUAUAACUGAUCACAGAACUAGCCUUGGAGCCGAAAGUGUUGAAGCAUUGAUGUGUUUUGGGGAUUGGAUUAGGCGUGGUGAACCUUCUUGCGAAGAAAGCAAACCUCAUGAGGUUUCGUGAUUGUUCCAGAUUUAUAUGUCUUGAUAUUGAGUUGAGCACGGGCGAUGAUGUCUACAAUGCCUGAUUUGGGAAGUCGUUAAGAAGAGCAACCAUUCUUUGGAGCAUGUUAUUCCAAACUUCCUAGUGUAUCAGGAUCUGUAAUAUUCAUAGUAUAAUAUUCUGAAGUUCCUAGUGUAUUUUGGAGACCAGGGCUUUACUGGACUUGGGAUUUACUGAUGCACUUAUAUUCCUGUGAUGCAUGUACUAAUGCUGAAUUGUUAGCUCACUGAGCUAAGA